rnacentral:lncRNA from 1 species
AUACACUGCAGUUGGAAAAAAUCCCACAAGCAUAGAGAAGUCUAACUUUACAAAAGAAUUAAUUUAGUAAUUAAGUUUAUAAUAGCUCUAGUUACCCCUGAAACUCACAGUCUUUAAUGAAUUUCUCUUUAGAGCAUUCCUGUGAAGCAAGGCAGUGCUUUGGGGAUGAUGUGCUGAGGAGAACUAAGACCUAGAAGGAUUAAGGUCACAUGAAUGUGAGACAUCAGGGUAUCAACUCCAGCAUGAAUCUGGGCUGUAGCACCAGGAAAAGGAGUCUAGGAGGCAGCCAAUGCUACUCUGACUCCWGGUCAUAGAGGAAGUGAUCUAUGAGAAGGGCAGUAGUCUGGAUCACGGGAGGCGCAGGUGCAAGUCUCUGCUGCAGCAUGUGCACUGGCGUGCGGUGAGCAGUGUCUAUCCCAGCAGCCACGUGACUGAAAGUCUGAACACAGCGCAGCUCCUGAUAGACAGGGAAUGCCCUUGUGAAACUCCCAGGCCUCUGCGUCCCGCACAGAAGCGGCUUGCAUCAGACUUUUAGACAUUAUUGAACAGAGAYGUUUGUGUUUAUCUAUCCACCUGGUGAGGGAAAGGUAAGCAAUUUUUAUGCUUUAAAUGCUUCUCA